AACUUUCAACAACGGAUCUCUUGGCUCUCGCAUCGAUGAAGAACGCAGCGAAAUGCGAUAAGUAAUGUGAAUUGCAGAAUUCAGUGAAUCAUCGAAUCUUUGAACGCACCUUGCGCUCCUUGGUAUUCCUUGGAGCAUGCCUGUUUGAGUAUCA
rnacentral:rRNA from 6 species